UGGGUUAAAAAAAACUUCAAGUUGUUAUGGUAUUAUGGAGGUGUAAUAUUUGCAUUGCAUUUCUCAGCUUUAUUUUCCGAUUCUUUUUAAAGACUUAAAAGAUCUAAGCUCUAAAAUGAUGGCACAAACUCAAGCAAUGAAAAAAAAUUGGAAAAGUGACCUGGAAGAAAUUCAGAAUGAGAAAAUAAAGAGGAUACGCGAAGUGCUUAAAAAAGAAAGUGAAAUGACUAUGGUGGUUCAAAAUGUUUUCCAGAUUCUAGUCUUUUGCAGCCGUGUCAACUGGGCAGCACAUCCAAAGUUGAAAGAGAUUGUACUAAAGCAAGAAAAAGAUUUAAAUUCACUUUGACUGCUCUUUUUAAGUACAAGAUGUAUAUUUGUUCAUAUUUUAAUUUUUUUUUAAUUUUAUUCUUUUUUUUUUUAAUCUGAAAAUAUUUAUUUAGAUAGUCUUUGUUUUAAAGAAAAUAGUUGAUCUAAGAAAAGGUUUCAAUUAAAGAAAUCUAUUUUUCUGACUUUUUAAGUUUAUGUAUGAAGCUUAUUGGAAUGUUUUCACCAUUUUCAAAUCUACCAAUUUGAGUAUCUACAUCUCAGCCUCAUUAUUAUUAUAUAAAUAAUUUUUGUUUGUUUUUUAAAGCUUUUCAGAUACACCUUUUGGUAACUGUAACCUGUAAAUAGACUGCACUGAAUGUUUGUGAUUUCAAUAUCAAUCUUCCCUAAUAAUUCCAAAACCAGAAAACCUUUUACAAAGGUCACAGAUGCUUGAACCCAAAAUUACAGAAACUUUGAAAUAUAAGUUCUUGGCAUGUUUCAGUAAUAUGCAUAAAUAUUAGCAUACUGUAAAUAUUUUUAGGCCUGAGAUGUUCUAAACGUUAGACCACUAAAGAACAAGAAAUAACAUUGCAGCUUGUGUUGGAAAAAAAUAACUGGAAAGAUGUGAAAUAUGUUGCUUUAUCUGCUUUUGGAACACAUGAAAGUAAGAAUUGGCUACAGUUGGAAUGUGGGUUUGAUAGUGAAGUAAUCCAAUCCAGUUGGCAACUAGUAAUGACAUAAAAGGCAUUUCAAUACGUAAGCAGCUAUAAAAAAAAUCCUGGUAAAACUUUCCAGUUCAGUGUUUAAAAGCAUUCAGGGUAAGCAGCUUCCAGCACUUCCAAUAAAAACUGAGCUCCUAGGCUGCAUGCACGCUUCCUACAAGCACAGAGCUUUAGUUCAUAGGAAUGCACUUUUUGUUGACUGUGUAAGCAUUGGAGGCAGAUGUGACAAUCGUUUUUUCACAUAUUGUUGCAAAGGGACCUUUUGAUAGCAAAUAUUGUUGGGACUUUAAGGCCUUUUCUGUCAUGGUUUCUUUCCUGCAAUAAACAACAAUUUUCAAUGUU